rnacentral:rRNA from 1 species
CGCCUAACACAUGCAAGUCGAACGAAGUAGCAAUACUUAGUGGCAGACGGGUGAGUAACAUGUGGGUAUCUGCCCUUUGGCCUGGAAUAACACGAGGAAACUUGUGCUAAUACCGGAUAAGUCUUUACGGAGAAAGCUUUAUGCACCAUUGGAUGAGCCUGCACUUGAUUAGUUUGUUGGUGGGGUAAUGGCCUACCAAGACUGUGAUCAAUAGCUGAUUUGAGAGGAUGAUCAGCCACAUUGGGACUGAGACACGGCCCAAACUCCUACGGGAGGCAGCAGUGGGGAAUCUUGCACAAUGGAGGAAACUCUGAUGCAGCGAUGCCGCGUGAGUGAAGAAGGCCUUUGGGUUGUAAAGCUCUUUCGUCGGGGAAGAAAAUGACUGUACCCGAAUAAGAAGGUCCGGCUAACUUCGUGCCAGCAGCCGCGGUAAUACGAAGGGACCUAGCGUAGUUCGGAAUUACUGGGCUUAAAGAGUUCGUAGGUGGUUGAAAAAGUUGGUGGUGAAAUCCCAGAGCUUAACUCUGGAACUGCCAUCAAAACUUUUCAGCUAGAGUAUGAUAGAGGAAAGCAGAAUUUCUAGUGUAGAGGUGAAAUUCGUAGAUAUUAGAAAGAAUACCAAUUGCGAAGGCAGCUUUCUGGAUCAUUACUGACACUGAGGAACGAAAGCAUGGGUAGCGAAGAGGAUUAGAUACCCUCGUAGUCCAUGCCGUAAACGAUGUGUGUUAGACGUUGGAAAUUUAUUUUCAGUGUCGCAGCGAAAGCGAUAAACACACCGCCUGGGGAGUACGACCGCAAGGUUAAAACUCAAAUGAAUUGACGGGGACCCGCACAAGUAGUGGAGCAUGUGGUUUAAUUCGAAGAUACGCGCAGAACCUUACCAACACUUGACAUGUUCGUCGCGACUCUAAGAGAUUAGAGUUUUCGGUUCGGCCGGACGAAACACAGGUGCUGCAUGGCUGUCGUCAGCUCGUGUCGUGAGAUGUUGGGUUAAGUCCCGCAACGAGCGCAACCCUCACUUUUAGUUGCCAUCAUUAAGUUGGGCACUCUGAAAGAACUGCCAGUGAUAAGCUGGAGGAAGGUGGGGAUGACGUCAAGUCCUCAUGGCCCUUACGUGUUGGGCUACACACGUGCUACAAUGGUAUCUACAACAGGAAGCAAAACGGCAACGUUAAGCAAAUCCCGAAAAGAUACCUCAGUUCGGAUUGCACUCUGCAACUCGAGUGCAUGAAGCUGGAAUUACUAGUAAUCGUGGAUCAGCGUGCCACGGUGAAUGCGUUCCCGGGUCUUGUACACACCGCCCGUCACACCAUGGGAGUUGGUUCUACCUUAAGGCAAGGCUUUAAACCCUUGACCACGGUAUAGUCAGCGA